GGGUCAGUAGGUUGGUCGUGCCACCGGUACGUACUGGUCUCACUGAUUCCUCCUUCCUGAAGAACCGUAAUGCCAUUAAUUUGGUGUUGCGGGGGAACAGGACUGUUACUUUGAAAAAAUUAGAGUGUUUAAAGCAAGCUAACGCCUGAAUACAUUAGCAUGGAAUAAUGAAAUAGGACGAUCGAUCCUAUUUUGUUGGUUUCUAGGAUUGACGUA
rnacentral:rRNA from 1 species